CAGUCGCCGCGGGAAUACGUAGGUGGCAAGCGUUGUCCGGAAUUAUUGGGCGUAAAUGGCUCGCAGGCGGUUUCUUAAGUCUGAUGUGAAAGCCCCCGGCUCAACCGGGGAGGGUCAUUGGAAACUGGGAAACUUGAGUGCAGAAGAGGAGAGUUGAAUUCCACGUGUAGCGGUGAAAUGCGUAGAGAUGUGGAGGAACACCAGUGGCGAAGGCGACUCUCUGGUCUGUAACUGACGCUGAGGAGCGAAAGCGUGGGGAGCGAACAGGAUUAGAUACCCCCGUAGUCCCUGUCUCUUAUAC
rnacentral:rRNA from 1 species